UAAUGUCGACUUCUACAGGACUGGGCAUGUCUAAAAGUACCUCGGAGCCUCACCAGUAAGCUGAUGACAGGCAGAUCUUCCACUGUCUGACUUUUCAAUUUCUAGAAACUGACCCAUGAUCUCAGGCCACUGGGCAGCAACAGUAUCUCGAACUUACAGAGCUUCCUAAACAAUAGACUUAAGCCAAGCUCCACAGAGUGUGGCAACCCCACCAUGACACUGAUCCACCCACCGAGCUCUGCCAAGUUACCUUGGAUCCACCAGCUCAUAACAAGCCUCGUGGAACAAACCAACAUUCCACCUGGAAUCCAACCGGUAAUUGCCAUCCUCAAUUUUUGCUGCAUUUUUACAGUGUUGGUGAAGGGGCUGCAUCAGACGACAGGUACUUAAGGUUUUCUGAGGCCUCAUUGUGUCUUUGGAAGUAAGAGACCACUCUUUGGCAAGUGUCCUGGACCACGGGCUGGGUUUUCUGAGGCCUCAUUCUCUUUUGGAACUAAGGGACCACUCUUCAGCAUGUGUCCUGAACCAAGGGCUUCACGUCAGGAAUCUUGGACCACUUCUUGGAGCAGAGAAUUGAGUACCUUCCUCAAGUAAACGUUGACCCUCCACAGGUUUCUGCUAGUAUCAGUGAGGCUCAACAUGACUCAUGAAAGUCUUUCAAGCCUGGUAUUCUCUAAAGAAGUCUUCAUGCCAGUAUUCUCUAUUGUAGCAGAACAACUCUCAUCAAUGUGUUCGCACGUUUCCUCAAUCUGUGCAGCCAGGUUUUCUGCCAGCUUCUCUUCAUGUCUCCAUUAAAGUCGACUUCUACAGCACUGGGCAAGUCUGAAAGUACCUCACAGCCUCACCGGUAUGCUGAUGAUGGGCAGAUCUUCCACAGUCUGUCUUUUCAGUUUCUUGAAACUGACCCGUGAUCUCAGGCCAUUGGGAAGCAGCAGUAUCUCGAACUUACAAAUCUUUCCGAAAUUAGACAUAAGCCAAGCUCCACAGAGGGUGGCAGUCCCUUCAUGACACUGAUCCACCCACAGAGCUCUGUCCAGUUAACUUGGAUCCACCAGCCACAACAAGCCUGGUUGAACACACCAAUAUUCCAUCUGGAAAGCAACCAAUAACUGCCAUCUCCAAUAUUUGCUGCAUCUUUCCAGUGUUGGGGGAGGGGCUGCAUCAGACGAGAGAUUCCUAAGAUAAAAGUGAUUCUCUCCAAUAGCGUCCCAUGGUCCUUUUUUUCCUACCCUCUUUCCUUUAGUUCAGAACUCUAUACACAGUACAAAAUAGGGAAGUGUGUUCAUGUUAAUUUUAUGGUUCCACACAUCUUUAACUUUUCUCACAGUUAAAAGUACAAAAAGACCCCACUAUAGGAAUCUUAUGUUUGUGUAAUAGCCUUUCACCCAGAAUACACAUCCGUCUGUUGCUUUUCGGCUGAAACACCCACAUUCCCAGAAAAUGGAUCCAUUUGAUUCAUGGCGGCUGAAAUUCCUAGAAAUUAAUC